GUGCACAGCCCAACCCAGGGCUUGAUUCCACGAACCGUGAGACCAUGCCCUGAGUUAAGAGCAAGAGUCAGACACUUAACCGACUGAGCCAUCCAGGCGCCCCCAGCCGCACCUUUUGUGGGAGCUUCCCUGGGGGAAAGGAGAGCACAGUCUGUGUUGGGACAGUCCCGGUAGCUGUUGCCGGCCCCAUUGGACAGAGCGUGAAGGCAUGGAGAUCAAGUAAUUUGCCAACGUUCACGCAGCUAAUUCUCAGCAUUCUUGGGCUGCAGAGAAAAAGCGGAAGGGAGUCUGCUGCAGUGGGUAUCCUGUGCAACAGCAGGCUGGGAAGACAGGUUCAGCGAACAGCAGGAACAAGGCCCCUGAGAGCCCAGAUCACCGUGCACGUCUUGCCGCAGCGACAGCCUGACAAGGGUGGGGGCGUCGAUACUGUUGGCCGUUGCCCCAGCGCCACCCGCCUCCACUGAGCUCUGGAUCCCGGAUGCUGGUGCCGCUGCCGCCACAGGUGGAAUGCAUUCCAGUCCGUCUGUCCUUUUUGUCACUCACACAGACCCAAAGUCCCAGGCUCAAGCGUUCAGUUAGCCAGCACCAAAAAGUCCUUUGUCUGUGUCUUAGGGAGUUGGCUUUUGAGGGAGCAAGGGUCACACCUUUUAGUGUCCCUAUUGAUUUCCAGAUCUUCCAGGCAACAGAAGGGAGUUCACACACUCAGCAGUCAAAAAUUGUCACUUUUAGAGGCAAUCAGUAGCAGGGCUCAGCCUGGUGCCCAGGACUACAUGAAUUUCCACUGUCCCUUCUGUGUUGCUUUGGACCCAGGGGUUGAGACAGGUGGAAAACACCACUCACCAGCAGCAGUGUCCUCACCCCCUUGUGUAGCUGCUGGCAUCGGAUCCCAGGUGAACAGAAGGCUCUCCUGGCUGUGCUGGAGUGGGGGCUGCAGGUGGGAACCUGCCGAGGUCACCCACACGAGUCAGUUCCAACAGCAUCUUCAGUGACUUUCAAACCUGUUUACCGGCCUGGACAAUGUGGGUACAGGUACAAAAAGAAACACUCCAGGGGCCCCCGGGUGUCUCAGUUAAGCAUCUGACUUAGGCUCAGGUCAUGAUCUCACACUUCGUGGGUUCGAGCCCCACAUCGGGCUCUGUGCUGACAGCUCAGAGCCUGGAGCCUGCUUCAGAUUCUGUGUCUCCGUCUCUCUCUGCCCCUCCCCUGCUCAUGCUCUUUCUCUAAGAAAUAAGUAAACAUUUAAAACUUUUUUUUAAAAAAGAAAUACUCUAGGCUCCUGCUCUAAAGAACCUGUAGUCUAAUCUUGUAAAACAUCAGCUGUAUGUUACUGCUGCCUUUAAUGUAAGAUCCUUAAUACAGAAUUCCUGAAUUCCUCUCUCUGGUCCCCUAUUGUAUUUUCAAGUAUAUGUUUUAUGGGUGAAGUGAUCUAUGAUCUCUUCCCAGUUUAUAUUUUGCAGUUAUUGUCACUCUUUAUUACUAAAAGAUGAAGAUCGUCAGUUAAACGAAGCUUUAGAGUGUGAACUUUGGGUUGUUUGACAAGCUCCUUCGCUGCCUGGCAUAGUUCUUCAGGCAUUGUAAGUGCUCAGUACAUGCUGGAGAGUGGUUGGGGGGGGGGGCAGGUAGUGGAAGUGAUUUGGAGAAAUGAGAGAGAACGAGAAUGAAUUUGAUUUAGGUAUGGAGGGGCCUCCAUAAGGCACCUAGUAUGUCUCCUGAAAUGAAAUCAAGAACAAUUUUAUAAAGGGAGAUUUCUCCAGAAACCACAAAGGACCAGGGAAGAGACCGGAGCAGGGCAGCAUCCUGGACCAGGGCCUCUGGACAGCCAAAAAGGAAGGCAAGCUGGCCCUGAAACCAUGCGUGACGUCUCAGACCGGGUGGAAAGGAGUGAGGUGGACAGUUGUGUGCCUGAGACGGGCCGCUGUAAGGGCCCAGAGCUCUGUCUUUCCGUGACCAAGGAUGACCCUGGGGCCUGGGGAGGUCACACUGCCCAGAGCCAGCGGGGAUUCACCCCUCAGGCACUUGGCCCCAGGGCCUGUGUUCUUCAUCCCUGCUCUCUACUGCCUCUCGGCAGUUUUCGGACUUCUCUCCUGGGGAGGCAUCUUAGAGGCCUGAGGAAAGGAGUGAGGACGUGAGUCCAUCGCACGGUGGGAACGUCAAGUGCAACAACUCAGGACCAGCAGGGAGGCAGGGUGGCCGGAGCCCAGGGAGACGUGAGGCUGACUAACAGUGAGCUGGGGGAGCCUAGGAGGAGAGGGCCUUUGGGGUUACGGCGCGGCCAGGCGCUUGCGAUGAAACACCUCUGGAAGGUUACCAUGAGGCGAGGGUUGUAAGUGCGGCAGACCGGUGAUAGAUUCUGUCUCACGUCCACUGCUUUCAUUAAGUAGGUGUGGCAGACAGACCCCAGAGUGGCUGUCUGACCUCUGCCCCCUCUAGAGUCCCCCGUCCCCCCCCCCCACCACCACCACCUUGAAUGUGGGCUGGCCUGUGACUCUUCUGGCUAGUAGAAUACCCAGUAGAUGUGGGGAUUGGCAGAUGGGAUUAAAGUCCUGAGUUAGUUGAUUUUGAGUGAAUUGGAAAGGAGAUUAUCCUGAGUGAGCUUGGGUUAAUUAGAUAAAAGCCUUUUUAAGAGGGACUUGGUCUUUUCUGAGGCUAGAAACUCUCCUGCUGCCCUUGCAGAUGCAAACAGCCAUGUUGUGAAUGACCUCUGGGGAGGGCCACGUGCCAGCGGACCUCAGGCAGCCUUUAGGGUCUGAGGGCGGCCAACAGCCAGCAAGAAGCCGGGUCUCUCAGGGGCACCUGGGUGGCUCAGUAGGUUAAGCAUCCGACUUCAGCUCAGUAAAUGAACAUUAAAAAAUAAAGAAGAAGUUGGGGUCCUCAGUCACCAGCUGCAAGGAAAUGAAUCUAGCCAACAGUUUGAGUGGGCCGGGCAAUGAAUUCUUCCCCUCAACUUUGAGGGGAGGAUACAGCCUGGUGACACCUUGGUUGUGGGCUUGUGAGACCCUGAGCAGAAGACCCGGCUGAGCCCGUCCCGAGCUCCUGACCAGGACACCGUGAGAUGAUGCCCGUGCAGGGUCCCGGGCAGCACCUGGUGCUCAGGGCCAGUGGCCACAUUCUGCUGCUGGACGCUCCCCCGGUGCCGCACGCUGCCUCAGCCACCUCUCACAAAAACCUGAUGAAGUCGUUACUACCCCAUUUUACAGGUAAGGAAGCUGAGUCAUAGGUGGGCUCCUAGUUAGUAGGUCAAGGAAAUGGAGGCCUAGAAUCUGGACCGCUUGACCUCCCGGCGCCUGUGUGCUCAAUCAGAAAACCGCAGGAGAGCGCCCUGCCUCCCUGAUUCUCUAGCUGGGGAGGACGACCCGUAGGAAACAAUACCAGUCAGCUCAGGUUCCCAGGAAAACAUGCCAUAUUGGUGAAGUGGGGGCUCGGGGGAGGGAGGAAAGACCCCACGUGGGGAGUGCUUCCCACAGGGCCAUGAGGUCUCGGACGAUACACCGAGGAGCUGGGGUUUUAUGCUGCAGGUGGUGGGGAGCCAUUGAAGGUUUUAAGCAAGGGGAGCUAUUACACGCUGCUGAGCACAGUGGCUCCCAAGGGUGAUUCUUCCGUGCUUGGUAUGAGGGGUGCAGAGGGAGUAGAGGCCGGGACACCCUAGGGAGGCUUCCAGGUGACAGAGGCCAGGACCAGUAACCAUGAGCUGGACAAGAAGGUGGUGUGGCCUUCGUGUGUGUGUGUAGAGAGAGAGUGAGCGGGGGAGGGGCAGAGAGAGAAGGAAAGAGAGAGGGAGAGAAUCCAUGCGGGCUCCACACUGCACUCUGUCCGUGCAGAGCCUGAGGUGGGGCUCGAGCUCACCAACCGUGAUAUCAUGACCUGAGCCAAAAUCAAGAAUCGGAUGCUUAACCGACCAGGCCACCCAGAUGGCCCAGGUUAUGUAGCCUUUAAAAGAAAGACCUCACAAUUACAUCUCAGGCUGGGGGGGGUUGUUUUUAUAAAAAGGACAGGCUGUAAGUCCUUGUUCCUAUACAUAGGUGUACAGGAAGGGGACGUGUCUGUUCCGCAGGCGGCUUCUCUGACACCGGAGAAGACCAAAGGUUGCAUUGUAAGGCCAAAAAUUAUUCUACAAUAUCCAGUUUUGCUCGCUCUAGUGAUGUGAACUUCAGAUUAGAGCUCAGAUUGGAAAAAGGAUUCUUUAGGCGAUGUGGUAUGUGGCCAGCAGCGAGGAGCUGGUCCGCAUGUCACACGCCCAUUAUGACCUCUGACCCGCAGUGGCCAGCUGAAGGGCUGAUAGCACUGGACGUGCCCUGGGCGGAGUGGACCCUGUCUGCUCCUCCCACCAGCCCUUGCUUUUCUGGAUCCCGACACCGGCUUUUGCACAGCCCCCGGGCACCCCCUUUCUCUUAGGUCUGCACUGGAUCCCCAGAAGGAAUUUGACCAAGGAGAAAGUCAGGAAAAUAACCCACAGGAAGGAAGCAAUGACGGUCUCAUGUGAAGGGCGCUCAGUUCCUGGAAUUUAAAGAGGGCCACUCUUGCCAGAUGGAUAUGGCUACAAUCCUUGCUCCACCUGUCCCUACUGACACUUUGCAGGACACGGGACAAAACCGGACCCUGGCCGUUUGUCUUUGGCGUCUGUCACAUUUGGUCCUUACCUGGCCAGCCCUACAGUUCCUACCUCUCCUAAGUCACGGAUUUGAUCAAAGAUGCCCUUGGCAAUGGUAUUAGAUGGGCUUCGUCCUACCUCCAAGAGGCAAAAUCUGGUGGGUGGCACCUCCAGCCUCUCCCUAAUGGCGGGACUCCAUUCUCAGAACCUGAGAAUCUUGGAACAGGGCAGGAUUGUGAGACUGCAUUCUGUCCCCCACGCGGUUCCUCCCGGGCUUCCCUGCCCCACGAUGGCUCCUCCCCCAUGGCCUUCUCCAUGACUGCUUCAUGUCAGCCACUGCCUGUCUUCUGCUGGAGCACAAGGGGGCUGUCUCCGGCCCCGUCCUCAGGCUCCCUCCCCACGCCCAGGGGCAGCUCGCCGAAGCUAGCCAUGACCACGGUGCAAGCGGCAGGAGAAGCAAGGUCUGGGUGUCACUGGCAAAAGAGAAUAAGGACAGAGAAGGGAGGCCAGAACCCUCGGAGGCCCUGCAAGGGGCUGUAAAACUCACCGGCUGGGGCAGCUUAUGGAGGUCCCCCCGACCUAACAAGGUGGCCUGUCAUCUCCACUUGGAAAUGGCCAUUUGCUUCCCCCCAGCCAAAGAAGAUACCCAGUUGUCAUAAAUUCAGUGCUCUGGUAAAUGGUAACAAGCUUACCUUGGUUUCUCUUUACUGUCGCAAAUUAAACAGUGACAGAUGUCAAAGGGAAAUCCCUUCUGUAAAUCUGAAUAAUUGUGAUUGACCUCUGGGAGAGGGUAGAGUCUGGGAGGUACACUGUUUUCCCUGAAUGAUGCCCUGUAAUCACACUGCGUGAGAUCCCAAAAGGCAUGAAUCUUCUUCAUGGACGUCUUCCCUGUGUUCUGGGCACUCUUGACUUUUUAAAACCAGGAAUGUCUUUCUGGAAUGAUCCAGACCUAUUCCUAGCCUGAAGGGGGAUGCACUUCAUGGCCUAUGGGCCAGAGUGCAGAUCCGGAGGCGGGGGGGAUCUGGUUUGAAUCCUUACUGGGCACAUGAUCUUGACAAGUGACCUUGAGGUCAACAGUUAAUGGAGCACCUACUGUUCCAGGCACUGGAGAUACAGGGAUAAGACACUAUCCUGGCCCACGGGGGGGUUCUGUGGGCCCGACUUAGUGGAGAGAUUGGCUCUUUCCUUAUAUGUAAACUGGGAGUAAUAAAAUCUGAGGAUUGUGGCCCUGACGUGGGUAACAUGAAUCACAACCUAGCACUCGGCACAGAACAACGUGACAAAGGUUGGGUUUCUCUCUGUGAGUCCUGUUGAGAAAUGGGGAUUCUAUCAUUGUGGAAGGUGAUGAGGUAAACAUGGCCCCCACAGAGGAGCCAUUGUAAUAGUUCUGGAAGAAUGCUUGAAGUCUUAGUCUAAGAAAGCCUGGCUUACGAAGGCUAAGUGACCAGUUUAGGCUUGAGAGCUGUUCUCUGUGUGGGAAUCUGGGUGGGCACCAGCUGUUCCAGCCUCAGCCCACUUCCUCGUGUGCCGCCCUCAACAUCCAAACUUGGCUGCCGUUUUCUUGGACUUUCCCCUACCCCCAACCAAGAAGACCUGGGCGGGGCUUAGUCAGUUAACCAUCCGACUUCACCUGAGGUCAUGAUCUCGUGGUUUGUGGGUUCGAGCCCUGCAUCAGGCUCUGUGCUGACAGCUCGGAGCCUGGAGCCUGCUUCCGAUUCUGUGUCUCCCUCUCUCUCUGCCUCUCCCCCACUUAUGCUCUGUCUCUGUCUCUCUCUCAAAAAUAAACAUAAAAAAAAAAAAGUUUGUAAAAGCACUCUGAACAUGGUGGCGAUAAAAGGCGUUAAAUCAGUUUUGCAUGUGGUCACCACAGAUGGGUCUGACUUCCGAGUUUUCUCCUGUUACUGGUCUAGCCCAUCAGUUAUAGCCAUUAAUACUGAACUGCUUUUCAGGGGUAUUGAGAACAGCUACUUGGAAAUUUAUUUAGCUAGAGACCUGCUCUCCAGAAUUUGCUCUUUGUUCUUAUGAGAAUUGCUAGAAAAUGUUGACCCAAAGACCUUUCCUGUUUCAGUGUAUGAAUGUGUUCUCUCAAGUCUGCCUAUGGAGCGAGGGCCACCUCUUAGAGAAGGAAGGGUGUAUGGAUUUAAAUCUAUGGAUACAUGUCACUUGUGAUGAGAUUUACUGUGUGACCCAGCAAGAAAUUGUCAUCUGUGUUGCAUAGAAACACAUGUGCUUAAUUUAUAAAAUAUUUAGAAAUAUUUGCCUACCAGAAUUGUAAGGCUUAUCACAGGCUUACCAGAAAACUCAAAACUCAGUGUUUAUCUAAGAUAAACAUUUAGCAAAUAUUUGGUGAGAGCCUUCUCUGAGCCAGGCACUUGUAAUUGGUUACAGCCUUGGGUUUUGAAAUGAUAUUUGCUGCUGCUGCUUUUUUUUUUUUUUUUUAAUACCACAAUCCCAGCCAUGUGAGAUGCUAGUUUCCUGAAUGUGCAAGACACUCACGUGAUGGGUUAUCAGCACUUUUCAAAGUCUGCGAAAAAGGGCAUGAUCCUUGUUUUGGUUUCCUCUGGGUACAGCUGGGGAGAGUCCUCGGUGACUGUCAAGGUCUGGAGGACGGCGGCACCUCCCCGGCCCGACCGGGUCCCCUACAGAGCGCUCCUGGUGAAGACGUGUACACAUAGCAGUUAAGUGAGCAGUUACUUUUAUGGAAAUGGCAAUACUAAAGAAUUUUUUUCGACGUACACACAUGGACGUGCCGGAUUUCAGCCAUCUGUAAGAUGGGCACAGAGGAAGUGACGUUCCAAGUCUUCUUGCACAGGAACGUAUUCGUGUUAACAUCAGCGGCCGCUGGCUUUUCUUGUGCACUUUGCACGAGAGCUGUGCACAGUGAUCGUUAGUGGCCUGAGUGCUGAUGUGGGCUUGGCGACCUUGGAAAAGUUACGGGACCUCUCUGUGCCUUGGUUUUCUCAUCAAGCAGUUGGGGCUGUCCAAGUCUACUUCAUGGGAUGGCCCUGAGGAUGAACUGAGAUAUCAACUGUGUUAUAGGUGUUUAAAAAUUCAACCAAGUGGGGCUCCUGGGUGGCUCAGUCAGUUAAGCAUCCGACUCUUGAUUUCGGCUCAGGUCAUGAUCUCACGGUGGUGGGAUCAAGCCCCACAUUGGGCUGUGCUGUGGACGUGGAGCCUGCUAG